UGUGCACCAGAGCCAUGCGCGUCUUCCUGA
rnacentral:piRNA from 1 species